AACGAACGCUGGCGGCAUGCCUAACACAUGCAAGUCGAACGAGACCUUCGGGUCCAGUGGCGCACGGGUGCGUAACGCGUGGGAACCUGCCCUUAGGUUCGGAAUAACUCCCCGAAAGGGGUGCUAAUACCGGAUAAUGUCUUCGGACCAAAGAUUUAUCGCCUUUGGAUGGGCCCGCGUUGGAUUAGCUAGUUGGUAGGGUAAAAGCCUACCAAGGCGACGAUCCAUAGCUGGUCUGAGAGGAUGAUCCGCCACACUGGGACUGAGACACGGCCCAGACUCCUACGGGAGGCAGCAGUGGGGAAUAUUGGACAAUGGGCGAAAGCCUGAUCCAGCAAUGCCGCGUGAGUGAUGAAGGCCUUAGGGUUGUAAAGCUCGUUUACCCGGGAUGAUAAUGACAGUACCGGGAGAAUAAGCUCCGGCUAACUCCGUG
rnacentral:rRNA from 1 species